CUCAGCUCUACAUAACAGUCUGUUUAGGUCUUUCUAAUAACAGAAUUUAGUCUUUUCUAGGCAAUGUCUUAUUGGUUUGGUUUAAUGCCAAAAGUUUUUUUUUUUUCCAAAGUACACAAGGGACUUUGCUAGCUCACUGGGAUUUUGAAAGUUGAAUCCUUUUGAAAUGUAUUUAAGACCAAUGGAAUUUAACUGCAUUGGCUAAUAGUAGCAAUGAGUUCAACAGCAACACUCCAGGGCUCUUGAUGUAAUGGGAAAAUAUCUUGGUGGUGGACAUUACCUCUUCACGACCUUAUUUGACCUACUUUGGACAUCUAAAAUGAGUGAAUUUGACAUAAGAACUCUAUAUACAUCUGAACAGGAGCCAGGCAUGUAGGUAAGAUUCAUCAUAGACCAAUUGGUUUGCACAUGUUAUUUCUCUGACAAGACAAGAUAAGCUACACAGUAUCCAACAGCAUUCCUUCCUUUCUCUUUUGUUCUUUGCCAGUUGAUUUUUAUUCACUGGAAAUGCCAAUUUUCCACACGCUAUUCAAUGUGAAAUAUUUGUUUGACCAAAAAAAAAAGUAGAAUGGGAGAACAAAAAUGAAAAGAUGCUGAAGAUUUAACUCUUUCCUACUCAACUAUUUCUUUCUAUUUCUCCCUAUUUAUUUUGAGUUUAGAAUUAUGAAACCUACCAGCUUAAAAAAAAACAAAAAACAUAUGAAAUGCUUCAGUCAGAUCUAUCCUGGCACAGUCACUGAGGCAAAUAUUGUGAAGUGGUUUGGCUUUCCUUUACCUGCUUUUUAACAUUUUUCUGUUCCCAACCCCCAUCCCUACCAAUGGUGAAAGACCCCAGUGAAGUAGUUUGUUGUUUUUUUCCUGUUGUUUCCCCUUCAAAAGCUGAAGUUUUAAGAGGAUGAGGAAUUUUUUUGGCUCAAGCUAAUACUCAGCACAUUAGAGCAUUUUUCAUCUUCAAAGAACUCUUUUAAUGAGUUCAUCUUUACCACACACCUGGAAGUCUUUCUUCUACUGCCAUCUUCCCCUACUCUAAACAAAAGAAAAAAAUGAGCUGAGGAAGCCAGAGAAGACAGGUUAAAUAACUUGCUUCUAGGCACUGAAAACUUAUGAUAAAAACAAAAUUACAAAACUAAAAUCUUUUAGGGAAUAGCAAUGGGUGCUCAAGAUAUAUAGUUAGCUGUCCUACAAAAUUAUUGUGUAAAAAAGCAAUGUGGGCAUUCCUCUCCCUCCACACAGUAAUUUAACUCACACUGAGAGAUGUCUUUCCCAAUGGUAAAUCAGGAGGGGUGUCAAUAACCAGCAUGUACACAAAUAUUGUUAUCUAUAUAUGCUCAAGUAGCAGCCUCAAAAAUAAAAUAAGGGAGAAAAGCA
rnacentral:lncRNA from 1 species